AGAGAGAGAGAGAGAGAGAAGAUGACCUAGAAACAAUACAUCACUGACCAUCAUCUCCAUAGAUGAUCUGUUUUGAAUGAAUGGAGAAGGUGAGAUAGAGAUAGGACAGUGCUCUAUGUCUCUCUGUCUGCUUUGAUUUGAGUCAAUUUUAAAGAAAAGUUGGGGAUUUAUGAAAAAAAUUAGGGAAAGCAAUAAGAAAUGAAUGGUUAAGAAUUUUAUGAACAAAAUUAGAAAAAGCAAGAAUAAACUAAAAUAUAGAAGAAGAAAGAGAUGGGUUAUAGAAUGGAGGGGGGAAAGUUAGGGGUUUGGAAAAUGAUGAGAAGAAAGUUUUGGAUGGAAAAAAGGAAUAUAAAAAAAUAUAUGAUUAUUUUUUAUUAUUUAAAAUAAACGUAAAACAGUAUUUUAUUCAUUAAAAAUGGGAUUAUUUUUUUAAGAGAUUGCACUCAACUCAGGCAAAAUUGGGCUCAAUUGGACAUCACGAACAAGUCUAAGGGCUGAGUUGAACUUUAUGCACAAAUAGAUCAUUCAAUAUCUGUGCCAGUCGGCCUUUUUUUAAAGUAAACUUUCUAGGAUAGAUUUUUUAAGUAAAAUUUCUAGGAUAGAUUGCAUACUUUAUAUUAAAUGAUUAUUUGUUAUCAGCAAUGAACUUUUUGAUGCAAUUCUUAGAUCUUAAAUUGGAUUUCAUUUUGCAUGUUUCUAUUUAGUAAUUUGUUGCAAAAUUUAAAUGAUGCUGAUACCUUUUCAAUGGCCUGAUUAUAAUUUUGAAUUUCUUUGUUUGAAUGGGCUGCAUUUAUGUUGGUGCAAUUAGAUAAUUUGGUUGAAAAUCUUU
rnacentral:misc_RNA from 1 species